GCUGGCGGCAUGCUUAACACAUGCAAGUCGAACGGAAACAGGACGCUAGGAUUCCUUCGGGAUGACUUUGUCGCUGUCGAGUGGCGGACGGGUGAGUAAUGCAUAGGAAUUUGCCUUGAAGUGGGGGAUAGCCCGGAGAAAUCCGGAUUAAUACCGCAUGCGCUCUACGGAGCAAAGCGGGCCUCUUCUUGAAAGCUCGCGCUUUGAGAUAAGCCUAUGUCGGAUUAGCUAGUUGGUAGGGUAAAGGCCUACCAAGGCGACGAUCCGUAGCUGGUUUGAGAGGAUGAUCAGCCACACUGGGACUGAGACACGGCCCAGACUCCUACGGGAGGCAGCAGUGGGGAAUAUUGGACAAUGGGCGCAAGCCUGAUCCAGCAAUGCCGCGUGUGUGAAGAAGGCCUGCGGGUUGUAAAGCACUUUUAUCGGGAAAGAAAACCACAGGGUUAAUACCCCUGUGUCUUGACGGUACCCGAAGAAUAAGCACCGGCUAACUCAGUGCCAGCAGCCGCGGUAAUACUGAGGGUGCAAGCGUUAAUCGGAAUUACUGGGCGUAAAGCGAGUGUAGGCGGCUUCGUAAGUCGGAUGUGAAAGCCCCGGGCUUAACCUGGGAAUUGCAUUCGAUACUGCGCGGCUAGAGUCUGAUAGAGGGAAGUGGAAUUCCAGGUGUAGCGGUGAAAUGCGUAGAUAUCUGGAGG
rnacentral:rRNA from 1 species